rnacentral:rRNA from 1 species
ACUUGAAUAUUAAGAGUUAUGAGCUUUAAAUUCAGAGAAUUUGGCGGUAUUUUAGUCUUGUUAGAGGAACCUGUUCUGUAAGCGAUACUACACGUAGAAUCUUACUUACUUUUGUUUUUCAGCUUGUAUACCGUCAUUAUUAGAUAACCCUUAUUGGGUUAGUUAUUGAACUAUAAAAAAUUAAAUAUAUUAGAUCAAGGUGCAGUUAAUGGGUAAGAAGAAAUGGGUUACAUUGAAAUUUAUUUAGACGGAUUGGAAGUUGAAAGGUUUCUAUAAAGGAGGAUUUAAUUGUAACAUAAGUUUAAUAAGUUUAUGUGAUAUGAGAACUAAAAUAUGUACAUAU